UGUUGCUUAAUCUUAAGGAAGGGUUUUGGUUUCCCGCUCAGUGCAAUAAUGAAGAAGGCAAGGCAGAACGUAACCCAGUCCCUUUCGUCCGUCUCCGCCAUCGGCAUGACUCUGCAUCGGCAUGUCUCCACCACUGGCACGUCUGGGCACGGCUCUCUCGCCACCGAGACGUCUGGGCAAGGCUCUGUCGCCACCGGCAUCAGAUUCAGAUUCAGGUUUCGCAGUCAGCCAAACGAGGCCUUUGAUGAUCUCUUGUGCCUUCCAAAGCCACCUGCUGUCCUUUGCCACGCACUUCUCUCUCGAAUCCGUAGCCGCUUGCUCUCCUCUGACAUCGAUGUGAGCAUUGGGUUGUCAUCGUGGGACGGUAGCUCCUCCCCACUCCUCAACGUCAUCAGCAAGCCAAUGUAUCCAAGAUUCUCGACGCAGGAUUGGAGUUUCUGUUGGAUGAUUCAAUCGACACGAGAUUCUCAAGGAGAGAGGUGAUAAGAGGAUGUUGGUUGAGUGGGAGCAUGUGGCAGUUUGAUGAUGGCUCAUUCUUCACCACUCUCACUUGCGGUUUGUAGACCAGUUUGUUUGGAGUAUUUAUAAAAGUGGAAUGCAUUCAGUAAAAUCAGGAUAUCAUUUAGCUUAGGAGUUGUUAAAACAUGGAAGAAGGAUUUCAAGUUCACAUUCACAAAGCACUUCUGAGUUUUAGAGGAAGUUUUGUGGAAUCUGAAAUAAGGUGUUGGUAGACAUUUAUGUAAAGAGGAUUGUGUUGGUAUUUAUGUUUACACCAAAAACAAUACUUUGCUACCAAAUAAAGAGGAAUUAAUUUUGGUUA